UAUUAUUGUCACUGUUGUUUAUGGAAGGUCAAGAAGAACCAAGAGAUGUGUUUCUGAAGGAAGCAUGAAAAUCAACAACAUCUCACUGAACAGUGAUGGCGCUGACUUUUCAGUUAACUCUAGUCUUCUCAGAAAUACUAAAGCUCAUGAGAUUGGCUAUGGUGAAAGUCUGAGUGCUGGGUCAAGAUUGACAACUCAAAGUGGGGUUUUUGAUUCUGACUUUGAAAAUAUUAGACCAAUCAAGAGCAAGUCUAUGAUAACUCAGACUUGCAAGAACAUUAUUCGACCAAACCAAAAGCCUUUGUCAAUUGUUAGGAAGCCUGGUAGACCUGCAAAAGUGAAAAUUUCUGGUAUAUCUGUGACUGUUAAUAGAAUUUCACCUCAGGAAAGAGAAGUAUGUGUUAGCAGUUGCUUACCUCCAUUAGAUCAGGAGAUAGUGUUAGAGAAAACUUGCCUAGAAGAAAAGCCUGACCAACAAUGCAGUAAUGUGGAUAAUAUCAAGCACACCAAUGUUGACAUAGUUAAGGAUGAAUCAAAUAGUACUGUUACUUCUAUACCUCUGAAGCAUUCAAUUAAGGCUAGAAAACCUUUGCAUUUCUUACAUUCAUUUGCAUCUUCUGGCUCACUUACUUACAAAAAUACCCUUCGUCAUAAAUCAUGUAAACUCCAUUUGCAUAAAUGCAAAAAUCCAAAGAAAAAAUACAGGCAGUC
rnacentral:lncRNA from 1 species